CCUAGAGGACGACCUCAAGGACGACGUCUAGGGGACCUCGAGGACGACCUCA
rnacentral:ncRNA from 1 species